rnacentral:lncRNA from 1 species
GGGAGAGGCUUUAUCCAGCCCAGUCUGCAGGGCAGUGCACGCAGAGAGCCGGUGUGAAAAGUUACAUUACCCUGUCGGUAAAUACCUAAUGGAUCACCGUGGAAGAAACGUAAAAGCCAGGAGGGAGAGAAAAGGGUGGGGGAAAGGACAAGCGAUGAGCAGAAGAAACCCCUGGCUGACAGGAGAAGGACAGCUAGAUAGCUGGCGCUGGUACAUGGUUCUCAGAUGCUGGGGAUAUGUCCAAGUGCUUCUUUCAGCGAAGCUCAACUGAAAAAGUUCUUCACCUCUGUGCCUGGAGUUGGAGCUCAAGGUGGAGUGCAUGGCUGAGGCAAAGAGAGUGUGGGGCUCUGCUGAAGAAAAACUUAUCCAUGGCAGGCUGUCACAGUGACCAGACAAGUUAUAGUCAUGAAAUUUUCUGCAGUGGAUAGUUUGAUGGAUCUGAACUGGAAUGACGUUCAGCACAGAAGAGGCAGAAACAAGUGCAGAAAUCUUGGCAGCACUGCUGUUGGCUGUUUGCUGGUGGCGAGGAUAUGGAGACUAAUCGACAGUGGAGUUCAGGACACGACAAGGAGCAGAGACGUUUUCACCUUCCUGUGUUUCUACUGUUCACCACUAAUGGUUUCAGUAACAUUUCCACCAGCACUCCCAAGAACCCAGCUGCUUUGGUGAUCCCUUACUAGUGAUGUAGGCAUCAGUAACGCAGCCAAGCAGUCAAGAUUUUAAGAAACAAAAUCCAACCAGAAACCUGGAAAACUGGAGACUCAAAGUUAAUUGUUCCCCAUCAUUUCAUGCACCAUUUUCUUUUUUUUUUUUUUUUACACUGGCCAUGCAAAGUUUAUUCAAAUAUGUUCUAUUCUUUGACGGAAAAUUGACAGUGAUGAAAUUCUCAGUCAUGCCAAACACAAACAAAAAAGGUAAAUACAUAGUGGGAAUACAAUGUUAUUAAACCUCUUCUGUUUUCAAGAUUUACUACACUUCAGCAAGCAAAUUCAGCAAAACCAUGUAGAUUAAUUUUUGUCUGUGUUUAGUUUUUGGAUUCUGACCAACCUCUAGCAAUAUAAAAUGAAUCCAAAUAAGAUGCUACUGUGUACUAACUACACAGUUAACUUAAUUCUGUACAAAAUUUCCAGCUAAGUGCUUAAAUCAUAACACAACAACUUAUCAUUCUAUAUGAAGCAAGUAUCAGAGAAGAAAAACUAUUUUUAAACUAGUUGCACUGAUUUCAACACAUUUUAGAGCAGGCCUUAUUUUCAUAAACUUCACAAGUUAAUAUGCUAUUUUUAUGAGAGAUAAUAAUCAGGAUUAUGUGGAAAGAUUUUGGCACAGUAACACAUACAGUAAAACAAUUCUCAAAAUACUAGUCAUUAUUCUCAAUUAUGUUUCCUAUUUGAUUGUUAAAAGCCAAUCUUGUUGACCCAGCAAUAUACACUUGGCUUUGCAGCCACUGUUGCUGCUUAGUAAUGUCUUGGGAAAUCCUAUGCCUUUGAAACUCUAUGCAAAUCAUCUAAAAGGAGCCAAUGUUAACACUCAGGCUGAAUUAGAAAAUAGGAAAAUACACGAAGUAAGUAGUUUAAGGACAAAGUUGUCUCUAGCUAAAAUUAAGCACUGAUUCACAGUGACAUUAUGAAAACACUAAGCUGUACAUUAAAAUUCCUAAACAUUGCUGCUAUUCACAACAGGCCAAUGCAAACAUUCGUUACUUCUGUGUCUGAGAGUGAAUUUGUAAGUUAGGAAAAUGAUGUCAGUAUAAAAGAAUUCAAAACUAAUUUUAUCUGAUUGGCAAGUGAGUUCAAGUACUGAGAUACUAAAUAAAUAUUUGACAGCACCAUUCCA